GGAAGCUGGUCACCGUUGCCAUAUCAUCGUACUCAGAGCACAGUAUUUACCGUUUUCUGACGCCUAGCUAUGGUCAAGAAACAUCAGGAUCUAACUCUUUUUAACGAUAACUGUAAAUGGGUUUCGUUAUUGGAGCGCAGAAGACAGUCUAGGGGUAGGAUGUCGGGAAAUAUAAAUGGCUGAGUACGACAAUCUGGCAACGUUGAGGCUGAUGGGAAGAAAAAACGAUUGUAUGGUAAAAAGAAGCGAAUAAUUGACAAUGAUGGAUGAAGGGAAAGCUAGAAGGUGCUUGGAAGAGAGUCAUAACAGAGGGAGAAAAGAAGAGAAAGAAAAAAAAGUUAAGGGUAGAAGGUGCUUGAGGGUCGUAACAGAGGGAGAAAAGAAGAGAAAGAAAAGGUAAAAAUAGAAGGUGUUUGAGAGUCGUAACAGAGGGAGAAAAGAAGAGAAAGAAAAGGUAAAAAUAGAAGGUGUUUGAGAGUCGUAACAGAGGGAGAAAAGAAGAGAAAGAAAGAAAAAGUAAACGGUAGAAGGUGCUUGAGGGUCGUAACAGAGGGAGAAAAGAAGAGAAAGAAAGAAAAAGUAAACGGUAGAAGGUGCUUGAGGGUCGUAACAGAGGGAGAAAAGAAGAGAAAGAAAGAAAAAGUAAACGGUAGAAGGUGAUUGAGGGUCGUAACAGAGGGAGAAAAGAAGAGAAAGAAAGAAAAAGUUAAGGGUAGAAGGUGUUUGAGGGUCGUAACAGAGGGAGAAAAGAAGAGAAAGAAAGAAAAAGUAAACGGUAGAAGGUGAUUGAGGGUCGUAACAGAGGGAGAAAAGAAGAGAAAGAAAGAAAAAGUAAACGGUAGAAGGUGAUUGAGGGUCGUAACAGAGGGAGAGAAGAAGAGAAAGAAAAAAAAGUUAAAGGUAGAGAGAGACGAACAUGAACACAUACAAAAGUAGAAGAGAAUAGAGGAAGAGAGAGUAGUAUGGUAAAAGUGAACGAAUAGAUGAUGAAAAGUAGAUAGUUGAAAAAGGGAAAAGGUAGAAGGUGCUUGAAAGAGAGUCAUAACAGAGGGAGAAAAGAAGAGAAAGAAAAAAAGGUAAAAGGAAGAGAGAGACGAACAGGAAGACUAAAACAAAAGUAGAAGAGAAUAGAGGAAGAGAGAGUAGAAUGGUAAAAGUGAACGAAUAGAUGAUGAAAAGUAGAUGGUAGAAAAGUGCUUGAGAACAGGAAACCCAUAACAGAAGAUAAAAGGAGGAAGAAGCUGUAGAAAGGUGAAAGGGAAUGAAGAGAUGAUGAAAAGUAGAUGGUAGAAGAAGGAAAAAAGUAGAUGAUAGAAGGAAAAACGCAGCGAAGAGAACAGGGAAAUUAAAUCAUAAGUAAAUGAGAACAGAGGAGGAAGAAAGAGUAGUCUGGUAUAAGGGAACGAAGAAAGGAUUGAAGGUAGAUAACGGGAGAAGGGAAAAGGUACAGAAGAUACUUAAAAACAGGAAAACCAGAACAAUA